rnacentral:rRNA from 1 species
AACGAACGCUGGCGGCAUGCCUAACACAUGCAAGUCGAACGAGACCUUCGGGUCUAGUGGCGCACGGGUGCGUAACGCGUGGGAACCUGCCCUUAGGUUCGGAAUAACUCCCCGAAAGGGGUGCUAAUACCGGAUAAUGUCUUCGGACCAAAGAUUUAUCGCCUUUGGAUGGGCCCGCGUUGGAUUAGCUAGUUGGUAGGGUAAAAGCCUACCAAGGCGACGAUCCAUAGCUGGUCUGAGAGGAUGCUCAGCCACACUGGGACUGAGACACGGCCCAGACUCCUACGGGAGGCAGCAGUGGGGAAUAGUGGACAAUGGGCGAAAGCCUGAUCCAGCAAUGCCGCGUGAGUGAUGAAGGCCUUAGGGUUGUAAAGCUCUUUUACCCGGGAUGAUAAUGACAGUACCGGGAGAAUAAGCUCCGGCUAACUCCGUG